rnacentral:rRNA from 1 species
GGGGGGACAUGCGGCUGCUACACAUGCAGUUGAACGAGCUUAAUUUAUUAAGCUAAGUAGCGGACGGGUGAGUAGCGCGCAAUAACCUACCUUUAGGAGAGGAAUAACUAUUGGAAACGAUAGCUUAUACCUCAUAAACUGUGGAGUAAAAGGUGAAAGCCGCCUAAAGAUGGGCUUGCGUCUGAUUAGCUUGUUGGUAAUUUAAAAGGUUACCAAGGCAACGAUCAGUAGUUGGUCUAAGAGGAUGAUCAACCACACUGGGACUGAGACACGGCCCAGACCUCUACGGAGGGCAGCAGUGAGGAAUUUUCCGCAAUGGGCGAAAGCCUGACGGAGCAAUGCCGCGUGGAGGAUGAAGGCUUGUGAGUCGUAAACUCCUUUUCUUAGCGAAGAAACAAGACGGUAACUAAGGAAUAAGCAUCGGCUAACUCCGUGCCAGCAGCCGCGGUAAUACGGAGGAUGCAAGCGUUAUUCGGAAUUAUUGGGCGUAAAGCGUCUGUAGGUUGCUUUUUAAGUCUACUGUUAAAUGUUAAGGCUUAACCUUAAAAGAGCGGUAUGAAACUAAAAAGCUUGAGUUUAGUAGAGGUAGAGGGAAUUCUCGGUGUAGUGGUGAAAUGCGUAGAGAUCGAGAAGAACACCAGUUGCGAAAGCGCUCUGCUGGGCUAAUACUGACACUGAGAGACGAAAGCUAGGGGAGCAAAUAGGAUUAGAUACCCUAGUAGUCCUAGCUGUAAACGAUGGAUACUAAGUGUUGGACUUGAAAAUAGUUCAGUGCUGUAGCUAACGCGUUAAGUAUCCCGCCUGGGAAGUAUGCUCGCAAGAGUGAAACUCAAAGGAUUUGACG